ensembl:lncRNA
GGACUUUUGCUUUUUGCCCAGGCUGGAGUACAAUGGCACCAUCUCGGCUCAUUGCAAACUCCACCUUCCGGAUUCAAGUGAUUCUCCUGCCUCAGCCUCCCAAGUAGCUGGAUUACAGGCGCCCACCACCAUGCCCAGCUAAUUUAUUUUUAGUAGAGAUGGGGUUUCACCAUGUUGGCCAGGCUGGUCUCAAACUCCUGAUCUCAGGUGAUCUGCCUGCCUCGGCCUCCCAAAGUGCUGGAAUUACAGGUCUGGGCCACCAUGCCUGGCCUAAAAAACGUAUUUAAAGAAAUAAGACAUUGACAUGUUUCAUUAGGAAAAAGGCAUCACAGUUAUUGUUACUAUCUUGGAUCACCUGAUGACUCAGUGUGGGGUUCUUUUUAUAUUUUUAUUUUUCUAGGUACAUAGGUGUCUACAUUCAUGGUGUACAUGAGAUGUUUUGAUACAGGCAUGCAAUGCGUAAUAGUUACAUUAUGUCAAAUGGGCUACUCAUCCCCUCAAGCAUUGCAUUACAAACAAUCCAAAUACAGACUCCGUUGUUUGGUUUUUUGUUUUCGAGACGGAGUUUUGCUCUUAAUCAUCCAGGCUGGAGUGCAGUGGUGCAAUUUUUAGUAGAGACAGGGUUUCGCCACAUUGGCCAGGAUGGUCUAGAACUCCUGACCUCAGGUGAUCCGCCGGCCUCAGCCUCCCAAAGUGCUGGGAUUACAGAUCACUUGAGGUCAAGAGUUCAAGACCAGCCUGGCCAACAUGAUGAAACCCCAUCUCUACUAAAAAUACAAAAAUUAACCAAGUGCGGUGGCACAUGCCUGUAAUCCCAGCUACUCAGGAGGCUGAGGCAGGAGAAUUGCUUGAACUCGGGAGGCACAGGUUGCAGUGAGCCAAGAUCACACCACUGGACUUCAGCCUGAGGGACAAAAGCAAAACAUCAUCUAACAACAACAACAACAAAAAGGUGGUGUGACUGAAAUCCAAAGUGACUCAUUUAAGGUCACACCUCUAUUAAGUAACGAAGCAGAAGCCGGGCUCUAGCUCUCCAGUGGAGGAGCGGGGGAGAUUGGAGACGGUGAUUGGACCCAGAGAAGGGAAGUUUUUAAAUCAAUAAAGUACAUAAUCGGCACUUGUGUAGAGACGUUAUCUAUGCUUGGACUCAAAUCUGUAACACUUAAGGAAUAUUAAUAAACAUCAUUGAAAAGCUAUUUGGUAAUGAGAAUUAUGGAAGAAUAGGAUUGUACUCAAAGACCACUGUUUCAGUCAUCGAAUGCUACAUAACAAACCACUCCAAAACAUAGGGCCUAAAACAACAACAAUACUUAUUUUGCUCACAAAUCUGCCAUUUGGGCAGGGCUCAGCAGAGAAGCUCAUCUCUGCUCCCUUCAUCUUAGCUGGGACAGUUUGAAGCCUCAGAGCUGGAAUCACCUGAAGGCUCAUUCAACCUAGACAUCUGGAGAAUGGAACAACUGGGGUUCUGGGGUUCGUCCAGUAAGGCUCCCCAUCUCUGCCUGGCAUCUUCAUAAGGACUCUAUUGCACAGCAACUGCAGGCUAGCCAGACUUCUUCCACAUCAGCCCACAGCUCUCAAGGGAUAGGGCUCCAGAAAAAAGAGCCAAGUGGGAGCCACAUUGCCUUUUAUGACCUAGUCCUGGAAGCCAAGCAGCAUCACUUCUGCCAAAUUCUCUUGGUCAAAGCAGUUAAAAAGCUCUUUCCUGAUGUAAAAGGCAAGAACAGGGCCAGGCACAGUGGCUCAUGCCUGUAAUCCCAGCACUUUGGGAGGCUGAGGUGAGCGGAUCACUUGAGCCUGAGUUCAAGACCAGCCUGAGCAACAUGAUGAAACCCCAUCUCUACUAAAAAUACAAAAAAAUUAGCCAGGCAUGGUGGUGCACACCUGUAGUCCCAGCUACUCAUGGGGGCCGAGGCGGGAGGAUCACCUGAGCCCAGGGAGGUCAAGGCUGCAAUGAGCCGUGACCGCCCCACUGCACUCCAGCCUGGGUGACAGAGUGAGACUCUGUCUCUAAAUAAACAAAACAUGAGAACAUAGACCUCACCUCUUGAUGAAGGCGUGUCAGUGUCAUAUGGUAAGAAGGGUAUGUGGGGUGAGAUCCAUGUCAGAACAGCUGUGUUUGGGAAACACACUCUGCCAAACCAAAAACAACGGGAUGCCCAAACCAUUGAAACACAGCGUUGAAACAGACCUUAAAAUGACCACUUAUUUGCCACUCACAAAAUUCAUUUUGUAAGACCCAGUUCAAAUGUCCCUUCCUUCUGGGAAUCCCGUGCUGAUACGCCCCAGCUUACACACCCUUUGUAAAGAUGCCCACUCUCUCACUCAGCUUAUUCUAUUGUCAUUUUUAAAACAGGAUUGUAAUCAGGCAGGUACAAUCAUCCUAUACUAGCCAAUCAUUUUACUAGUCAAUCAAUAUGACAUCACAGGGCAGCUUCACAAAGAGCCCUCAGACUGAUGGAGAAGAGACACUUUUAGGGAAGCCAGAAGCAACGCUUUGCACAGAAAAUGCAGGACAGCAAAGAGAAAAGAAUCAGCAAUUCAGAGAAGAAAAACUGGAUCACACAAAGAUGGAAAAAAUAUAUAAAUAUACAGACAUGGGUUUUUUUGCUUUUCCCCUCCAGAAGCUGAGUUGAAAGCAUUGCCCCAAAGCAGUGAUUCUCAAACCUCACCUGCGUCAGGGUCACCGGGAGGGCCUGGGUCUAGUGAAAUACCCUCAGUGUUUCUGAUUCAGUGGGCCUGGGUGGGGCCUGAGAAUCUGCAUCGUCGCGGAGUCCCAGGCGAUGCUGCUGCUGGUCGUCAGAUCCCAGGCUUCAAAAACCACUAGCCACUUUGUGAGGCAGAGGUGGAAGGAUCACUUGGGUCCUUGAGUUCGAGACCAACCUGGCCAUCAUAGGGAGACACAACUCCUCUCCCCCACCCCGCCACAAUUUUUUAUUUAUUUUAUUUUAUUUUAUUUUUAUUUUUAUUUUUAUUUUAUUUUGAGACGGAGUCUCGCUCUGUGGCCCAGGCUGGAGUGCAAUGGCGCGAUCUCGGCUCACUGCAAGCUCCGCCUCCCGGGUUCAAGUGAUUCUCCUGCCUCACUCUCCCGAGCAGCUGGGAUUACUGGCUAAUUUUUUUUAUUUUUGGAUUUUUAGUAGAGACGGGGUUUCACCGAGUUAGCGCGGAUGGUCUUGAUCUCCUGACCUCGUGAUCCACCCGCCUCGGCCUCCCGAAGUGCUGGGAUUACAGGCAUGAGCCACCGCGCCCGGCCUCAUAGUUACAUUAAAAAAAAAAAAAAAAAAAAAUUAAAAAGUAACUGGGCGUGGUGGCGCUGGCCUGUGGUCCCAGCUACUCCAGAGGCUGAGGUGGAAGGAUCGCUUGAGCCCGGGAGGCAGAGGUUGCAGUGAGCUGUGAUGGUGCCACUGCACUCCAGCCUGGGCACCAGAGCAAGACCCUGUCUCAAGAAAGAUAAAAAGGAAUGUACUGGAGAUUCUGAAGGCACCGACCAUAGUGACCACAGCUGAAACCCCGCAAAGACGGAGGAACCCAAAGAGCCACGGGAGCUGUGGGUGGAGACGACCCAAGAGGCUGCUGCGGCCGGCUCUCAACAGCACACUCCUGGGUGGGACCCCCCGGGGCGGACACCGCCACUCCCCUUGGCCACGGUACGGGGCGCCCCCUCCCGACGCUCGUGAGUAGUGCAACCCGGACCGCAGACCCGAACCGCCGACUCAGGUGGGCGGGGUCCACCCGGACCAGCCUCCAGCCGCUUAGUGUCCACCGGUUGCUGGGACUGCGAGCAGCCGCGAAGACUGUCCCCACCCCUCGGGUGGGCGGGCCCAAGAAGACCGCCCCUCUCUUCCCCCCCGCGCCUUGACUGGUCAAUCUCGCCCGUGCGCGAUGACGUCCUGCCUAGGCGGAAAGUUUCCGAGAGUAGCGCGGGAGCUGAGAAGUUGGAGGCUCGGGUUCAUCUGCGGAAGGCCUUGAGCAGUUUGUUCCGCUGUCUUCCUGCUUCCAGGUUCCCCGACUGCGUCCCCACGAACUCCCCGUCCUUACCGCUUGCUGCUGUGGAGUGCCUCGCUGUCUCCCAGGUCCCCGAGUGAGCGUCGAGUGGGACCUCUGUGGCGAAGGAAGGCCUGUGUGGGUGGCACUGAGAGGUAGAAGGGGAGGGGAAUGUUGGCAGUUUCCCUGCGACCCCGGGGACUUUGCUCGUCCCCGCCAUCCACUUCCUUAGGCCUUUGGAGUCGCCGACUGGUCUAAUGUCGCCGGGCCUUGUGGCUCUGGGAAAUUAGCAUUGAUUAAUCCUCCUAACAAUUUUCAUUUUUAUAGAGACAGACUCUCCCUAUGUUGCCCAGGCUGGUCUUGAACUCCUGGGCUCAAGGUAUCUUCCAGCCUCGGCUUCCCAAAAUCUUGGGAUUACAGGCGUGAGCCCGGCCAGCUCCCAACAAUGUUAAGUGCCUGCUAGGAGUCAAGCACUGUGCUGAGUGCAGGGGCUCCCCAAGUCGUUGCGUCCCCAGUGCUUAGUGCCAGGCAUUGAGCAGAGGCGCGAUUCGUAUGUGAACUGAAACGAACCCCGUCCCUGAGGAACAGGACCUCUGCUGGGAAGUCAAAGAAAUGAAUAGUGAUUGUAUGAUGUGAUAGGUGGUCAGUUCCUGGUGGGCAGUAAUAAAGGGGAGGAUUGUUUGAGAAACGGAUACCUGACCUGAGCCUUGGAGGAAGAGGCAGAUACUGGAAAACUAGAGUCCCUGCGUUCUCUCACCACUUGCUAAUGGGCCUCUACAACCGCAGGAAACCGCAAUAAACCUUUCCCUUCUCCAGAUAGAUGUCUAUUCUUGCAAAGAAAUAGAAAAUGCAUUGCAGAGUAUU